GGAGUCAAGUGCCUCUCUUCCUUGGGAUGAAGAUGCUGGGGAAAUAUGUUUCACUUAUUGAAUUUUAUAACCCAGGCUGGCCAGAGGCUCACUUUGUAGCCCAGACUGUUCUCUAACUCAAUUCUUCUUCUGCCUUCAUCUCUGAUUCUGCAUGUGUAGACCAUUGCCAAGGCAAUGUCUUGUUUAAGGUUUGUCGGGUGUGUUGGAAACAGAUAUGACAGGACUGGUCGCUGGGGUCCUGUUUGAUAAUUUGUGGCAGAGCCCUGAGGACCUGAAGAAUGAGAGCAGUUACUAGGCUGCCACCUGUCCAGCGAUCCUUCCAGAUGUCUCUGUCCCUGAGGUGUUAGCUUACGGCCGCCAUCUUGGUCCUUUUUCAUCAUUUUCAGUCCCUCCAGGACUUGGAGGAGCCCGCGGGCCACACCCUUAGAGCCUCUGCUGAAGUGGCUGGGCCUGACACCUCCGAGGAUCUUGGUCUUGCUUGCCGCGCGUGUGGAAGCAGCUCGUGUGUAGAACCACUUUUCAUCACACGGGCCGAGCUCUUUAUGUUUGGCCAGCUUGACUGUGUCCACCCAUUCGGGGACUUUGAGCUUUUUGAGGAAGGCUGCCAGAGCUCUGACGAACUCCUGCAGGUUAACGUCUUUUA
rnacentral:lncRNA from 1 species